UACGUAGGGGGCAAGCGUUGUCCGGAUUUAUUGGGCGUAAAGAGCGUGUAGGCGGCCUGACAGGUCUGCUGUGAAAACUCGAGGCUCAACCUCGAGAUGUCGGCGGAAACCGUCUGGCUAGAGUCCGGAAGAGGAGAGUGGAAUUCCUGGUGUAGCGGUGAAAUGCGCAGAUAUCAGGAGGAACACCGGUGGCGAAGGCGGGUCUCUGGGCCGAUACUGACGCUGAGGAGCGAAAGCGUGGGGAGCAAACAGG
rnacentral:rRNA from 1 species